CUCAGAUUAUAAAUUGAAACAUUUUGCUGGAAUCGGUCAUCGCACUCUAUCAUCUGGAUAUCCUUCAUUGCCAAAUCUCUAUUGCCACCAUGGUAGACAAGGUGACUGCUGCAAUUUUGUGAAAUAGGAGAACAGCCAAUCAAAAUUCCAGACUAAACAAAUUGAGAAACUUGCAGUAACACCAAAACAUUAUUUUCAAAUGUUGGGAAACAGCUGUAUGCAUUGCUUUGGGAACGAUGCAAAAAAAAGGCAAUCGAAUGCAAAAUCAGCAAUUUGCGAAUGAUUGUGCAUUAAACGCUGUGGUGCUCUAUGUCUAUAAUGUGGCGGUAAUUUUCAAAUGUAUGAUCAGUUGCAUGCCGGAGUUCGCUGACACAAUUAUAUUCCCUAGAGAAUUUGCUUCUUCUUCGUUUUUAUCAUCUAAUAAUCAAAUGUGGACCAGACGACCAACAUCAAGUUUGAGAAAUAUUUGCAUUGAAGCAGAUCUAUCUACGUUCAGCUUAUUGAAACGAGGUUAGCCCGAGAACAAAUCUUCAAAGCAAGUGUUCAGCUUCAUGGGGGAACAUGCUAAGCUCUGCGUUGUGGUGGACUGCACUUGAUGGCUGGAAAAUUGGUGCAAAAUAUGCCAUAACACCAGCACCGAAACAACAACAAAAGUCAAAAAUUGGUCUAGGGGAGAUUGCCGUGCAGAAUGUAUGCCGAAAUGUUUUCCAAAUACAC
rnacentral:sRNA from 1 species